GGAGGGCCACCCAACCCCGUUUUUAGUCUUCUCGCCAAUUCUUGCGUCGCAAACUGCCAAAAUUCCAGCAAUGGAAAAAGCCAUUGAUUCGUCUCUCGCCCAAAAGUUGUUAAAUUUGGGCCAGGAAGUAUUAGCGAGUCGAGAAUUGGCCCAAACUUUUAAAACAAUAUGAUGGUCCAGAACUUUUCUUUUUCUCCCAAAGAUAGAUGAAGAUUCAUCAUUGAUACAGAACAUUACAUUCAAACCUAGGUCGUCAGAAAGAAU
rnacentral:lncRNA from 1 species